GGACUACCGGGGUAUCUAAUCCCGUUCGCUCCCCUGGCUUUCGCGCCUCAGCGUCAGUAGAGAUCCAGCAGCCCGCUUUCGCCACCGGCGUUCCUUCCGAUAUCAACGCAUUUCACCGCUCCACCGGAAGUUCCGGCUGCCCCUACCUCCCUCAAGACCGCCCGUCUCCGAGGCACUUUUCCGGUUAAGCCGAAAGCUUUCACCCCGGACGAUGCGGCCCGCCUACGCGCCCUUUAAGCCCAGUGAUUCCGAACAACGUUCGCACGGUUCGUCUUACCGCGGCUGCUGGCAC
rnacentral:rRNA from 1 species